rnacentral:rRNA from 3 species
GCGUUGAGCUAACCGAUACUAAUGAACCGUGAGGCUUAACCUUACAACGCCGAAG